AGAGUUUGAUCCUGGCUCAGGACGAACGCGGCGGCGUGCUUAAUACAUGCAAGUCGAGCGGACCGAGCGGCGCGUUGCUGGUUUCCAGCGACAAGCUGCAAAGGUNAGCGGCGAACGGGUGAGUAACACGUGGGUAAUCUGCCCCCAAGACCGGGAUAACAGAGCGAAAGCGCUGCUAAUACCGGAUGACCUCUCUUUAUCGCAUGGUGGAGGGAGCAAAGCGUAAGCGCUUGGGGAUGAGCCCGCGUUCCAUUAGCUAGUUGGUGAGGUAACGGCUCACCAAGGCGACGAUGGAUAGCCGGCCUGAGAGGGUGACCGGCCACACUGGGACUGAGACACGGCCCAGACUCCUACGGGAGGCAGCAGUAGGGAAUUUUCGGCAAUGGGGGAAACCCUGACCGAGCAACGCCGCGUGAGGGAUGAAGGCCUUCGGGUCGUAAACCUCUGUCUUUGGGGACGAUAAUGACGGUACCCGAGGAGGAAGCCCCGGCUAACUACGUGCCAGCAGCCGCGGUAAU
rnacentral:rRNA from 1 species